GGUCCGGGCGCUGGGCGGGAUCGGGCUGGCGCCGCUGCCGACGGCGGCGGGGCUGGCCCUGUUCGACGCGGCGCUGGACGC
rnacentral:tRNA from 1 species